rnacentral:rRNA from 1 species
CUACGUGAAGUCGGAGUCGCUAGUAAUCGCAGAUCAGCAACGCUGCGGUGAAUACGUUCCCGGGCCUUGUACACACCGCCCGUCAAGUCACGAAAGUCGGUAACACCCGAAGCCGGUGGCCCAACCCCCUUGUGGGGAGGGGGCCGUCUAAGGUGGGACUGGCAAUUGGGACUAAGUCGUAACAAGGUAGCCGUACCGGAAGGUGCGGCUGGAUCACCUCCUUUCU